rnacentral:misc_RNA from 1 species
GGAAGGAUCAUUAUCAUAACAUAAAAAAAAAAGGGAGUUGUUUUUAGUCUGUUUGUGCAAACAAAUGGAACGAACACCCCUUUUUUACCACAAACAAACCAACCACCACACUUAUCGGCAGCAGCAGUAGUUUGCGUUUGAAGUACGCUUCUCUCGUUUAUCUAUCUGUCUGUAUGUUGGUCUCUGUGGCUGGCUUGGCACACCUCGUGAACUUCAUGAAGUCCAUAACCAAUUUUUAAACACCAUUGUAACGUUUUUAGCCUGAUUUCAUUUUCUUUUUUUCCCACUUCUCUCUUUUCUUCAGUCAGUCAAUGAGUGGAGUAAGUGAGUUGCAGGAGAUUAAGGAAACAAAAACAACUAAAUACAAUCUUCAACGAUGGAUAUCUCGGCUCGUGUAACGAUGAAGAGCGCAGCAAAGUGCGAUAACUAGUGUGAAUUGCAGAAUUCUGUGAAUCAUCGAACUCUUGAACGCAUCCUGCGCCUGAGGGCUAUCCUUCAGGCACACCUGUUUGAGUGUUGACUUAUUCUCUAUUCUAUCAAACUUGUGAACUUGUUUCUUUCUGGUUUGAAAAGAGAUUUGAUAGUGAAGAAUUUCGAUUCCUCUCUAUUUAAAAGUAUGGGCUUGGUCACUCAUUUCAUCAGUUUGUGGCUAACAAUCUAGGUUCAGGGGUCUUUCGACUCAAGUCCUAGGUUCACUUUCUGAUUUUGAAAUAGUAAGAGUGAUUGCAGCAUCAAGGAAUACCAAGGCUGUUGCUUUUUCUUGUUUGUCUCUCUUUCUUAAAAAAAAAGAGAGAUUUUUAGGAGUAAGUGACAACCAAUAAAAACCCAUUCAACCUCAAAUCAGGUGGGACUACCCCCUGAAUUUAAGCAUAUAAAUAAGGGGAGGAAAAGAAAGUAACCACGAUUCCCUCAGUAAAGGCGAUUGAACAGGGAAGAGCUCAAUCCGAAUCUGUCUGGUUUCCAGACUGAAUUGUAGUUUUGUGAGUGCCUAUAUGGGAAGAACUUGGUUUAAGUUACCUGGAAUGGUACGCCACAGAGGGUGACAGCCCCGUAUACAACCGAGGAAGCUUCUCUAUCCGUAGGUACUUCAUAGAGUCGGACUAUUUGAUAGUAUAGUCCUAAGUGUGAGGUAAGUUCCUCAUAAAGCUAAAUACGGACGCGAGACCGAUAGCGAACAAGUACCGUGAGGGAAAGAUGCAAAGAACUUUGAAAAGAGAGUUAAAAGUACUUGAAAUCGUUGGAGAGGAAGCGGUUGGAACCAGUGAUUGAUCGGGGUUGAUUCGCGGUCGAAUGGGUGGAUAGACGUGUCAGAAGAGUCUCCUCUUGGGGGCCUUCUGGUGUGGAUGUCCAUCUAGGCGGCCGUUACUUUGGCUUCGACGGAUCAGCAUCUGUGGGCUUCGGAAUGGAAUGGGUUGGAGGAGGUAGCCCGGGGACUCUCUGGGUGUUUAACUCUGAUCAGAUAUUCUGAGGAUCCUACAGAGGAUACAAAGUGGAGCUUGCGGGGUAUCCAGAUCCCUGGUGUGUUCCAGUGUGGGGGACUGCAUGCAGUGCUCUGUGUUGGGGUGUACCACCGGGUUUGGUCCACUCUCCACUUCAUGAUGCUGGUGAAAUGGUUCCUACCGACCCGUCUUGAAACACGGACCAAGGAGUCUAACAUAUGUGCGAGUCGCUGAGUGGCAAACUUGGGGGCGUAAUGAAAGUGAAUCACGGUGCCAUCCUUGGCUCCAGAGCCUUGGUGCAGCAUCGACCGAUCCAAUUCCCCUCCGUGGGAAUAGAUUUGAGUAGGAGCAUGUCUGUUGGGACCCGAAAGAUGGUGAACUAUGCCUGCAUAGGGUGAGGCCAGAAGAAAUUCUGGUGGAGGCUCGUAGCGAUACUGACGUGCAAAUCGUUCGUCAAAUGUGGGUAUAGCGGCGAAAGACUAAUCGAACCGUCUAGUAGCUGGUUUCCUC